rnacentral:rRNA from 1 species
UCCUCCCUCUUUCUUCGUGCCUAAUACAUGCAAGUAGAACGCUGAAGGAGGAGCUUGCUCUUCUGGAUGAGUUGCGAACGGGUGAGUAACGCGUAGGUAACCUGCCUGGUAGCGGGGGAUAACUAUUGGAAACGAUAGCUAAUACCGCAUAACAGUAGAUGUUGCAUGACAUUUACUUAAAAGGUGCACUUGCAUCACUACCAGAUGGACCUGCGUUGUAUUAGCUAGUUGGUGGGGUAACGGCUCACCAAGGCGACGAUACAUAGCCGACCUGAGAGGGUGAUCGGCCACACUGGGACUGAGACACGGCCCAGACUCCUACGGGAGGCAGCAGUAGGGAAUCUUCGGCAAUGGACGGAAGUCUGACCGAGCAACGCCGCGUGAGUGAAGAAGGUUUUCGGAUCGUAAAGCUCUGUUGUAAGAGAAGAACGAGGGUGAGAGUGGAAAGUUCACACUGUGACGGUAUCUUACCAGAAAGGGACGGCUAACUACGUG